UGCAUGUCUAGCAUGCGAGUCAUUGUAGCAUACAAGGCAUACGGCUCAGUAACGCGUAGUCAACCUAACCUAUGGACGGGAAUAACCUCGGGAAACUGAGAAUAAUGCCCGAUAGAACACUAUACCUGGAAUGGUUUGUGUUCCAAAUGAUUUAUCGCCAUAGGAUGGGACUGCGGCCUAUCAGUUUGUUGGUGAGGUAAUGGCCCACCAAGACUAUUACAGGUACGGGCUCUGAGAGGAGUAGCCCGGAGAUGGGUACUGAGACACGGACCCAGGCCCUAUGGGGCGCAGCAGGCGAGAAAACUUUGCAAUGUGCGAAAGCACGACAAGGUUAAUCCGAGUGAUUUGUGCUAAACGAAUCUUUUGUUAGUCCUAGAAACACUAACGAAUAAGGGGUGGGCAAGUUCUGGUGUCAGCCGCCGCGGUAAAACCAGCACCUCAAGUGGUCAGGAUGAUUAUUGGGCCUAAAGCAUCCGUAGCCGGCUCUGUAAGUUUUCGGUUAAAUCUGUACGCUUAACGUACAGGCUGCCGGGAAUACUGCAAAGCUAGGGAGUGGGAGAGGUAGACGGUACUCGGUAGGAAGUGGUAAAAUGCUUUGAUCUAUCGAUGACCACCUGCGGCGAAGGCGGUCUACCAGAACACGUCCGACGGUGAGGGAUGAAAGCUGGGGGGAGCAAACCGGGAUUAGAUACCCGGGUAGUCCCAGCUGUAACUAUGCAACUCAGUGAUGCAUGGCCUGUCUGAUGCAGUGCUGCAAGAAAGCCGG
rnacentral:rRNA from 1 species